AUAGGAUCGGCCAACUACGUGCCAGCAGCCGCGGUAACACGUAGGAUUCAAACGUUAUCCGGGAAUUACUGGGCGUAAAGCGCGUGUAGGCGGUUUGGAAAGUUGGGUGUUAAAUCUUCGGGCUCAACCCGGAGUCGUCGCCCAAUACUACCAGACUAGAGGACGAUAGAGGGAGGUGGAAUUUCAGGUGUAGCGGUGAAAUGCGUAGAUACCUGAAGGAACACCAGUGGCGAAGGCGGCCUCCUGGGUCGUACCUGACGCUCAGACGCGAAAGCUAGGGUAGCAAACGGGAUUAGAAACCCCGGUAGUCCUAGCCGUAAACGAUGUAGACUCGGUGUUGGUGGUGUGAAAUCUAUCAGUGCCAUAGCUAACGCAGUAAGUCUACCGCCUGGGGAUUACGAUCGCAAGAUUAAAACUCAAAGGAAUUGACGGGUCCCCGCACAAGCAGCGGAGCGUGUGGUUUAAUUUGAUGCUACGCGAAGAACCUUACCUGGGUUUGACAUAUAGGUGGUAGGGAGCCGAAAGGUGACCGACUCUUCGGAGAGCCUAUACAGGUGAUGCAUGGCUGUCGUCAGCUCGUGCCGUGAGGUGUCCGGUUAAGUCCGGUAACGAGCGCAACCCUCGCUGUAUGUUAUACGUGUCAUACGGGACUGCCGGUACAAAGCCGGAGGAAGGUGAGGAUGACGUCAAGUCAGCAUGUCCUUUAUAUCCAGGGCUACACACACGCUACAAUGGUCAGUACAAUAGGUCGCAAAACCGCGAGGUGGAGCCAAUCCCAAAAACUGACCUCAGUUCGGAUUGUAGGCUGCAACUCGCCUACAUGAAGUUGGAGUUGCUAGUAAACGCGCGUCAGCAUUAGUGCGUUGAAUACGUUCCCGGGGAUUGUACACACCGCCCGUCACGUCAUGGAAGCUGGAAACGCCCGAAGUCGGUAUCCUAACCGCAAGGAGGGAGCUGCCUAAGGCGGGUCUGGUAACUGGGACGAAGUCGUAACAAGGUAGCCGA
rnacentral:rRNA from 1 species